CCUGCCCUCCUCGGUGCCGGUAGCAGCCGACUCUGCGAUGCCGCCGGACGUCUCGCAUCUCCAGCCUGGAACUGAACACAGGGGUUUUUCUGCUUGAUGAAGUUGAUGGAGGAUCUCCUUCAUCCUUUCCUCUGUCAUCUCCUCGUCCUCGGAGCCUCCCUCCUGCUUUAUGUCGUCCAGCAGACUCUGCAGCCUCUCCGGAGUCAUCUCCUCUUCCUCCUCUUCUUCUUCUUCCUGCCUUCCAUUUCUGUGACCGGUGGGCGAGGCGGCGUCUUCCCUCUGACGCUCCAAAGCGACCCCUUGCCCCCCCUUCGGUUUUUCCCCGUCUCUUCCCUUCCCUGACUGCUCCACCGCCCUCCUGUCAUUAUCCGGCCUCUCGAAAUAAACCUGCCCCGGGUUUUCUUCUCGGGUGGUCAAGGUUGUGUCUUCAGCCCCAACGAUUGGGGGCUGCGGGGCCGUGGAGCCGGGGCCCGCGGCGACUGUGGGUGGGUCGCUGCUAGAUGUGCUGGUGGUCUGAGUGAGGGAGAGGUCGCUAGGUCUAGUUAGCGUGAUCUUGCUAGGGGAGUCUGCGCUAGCUUCGCCAUCGCUAAAGAAGUUGUCUGAGCGAAGCGGAGUGGGGGGCUGGAAGUUCAGGUCUGUGGGGGUUUGCAGCUCCAGAUCUAUAUUGUUGUAUCCUAGGUGGAUGGCAGGAGUAAAGGAUUAAAGGGUGAGGGGAUUGAAGGGGGGAGGCGAGACAAAAAACAUUGGGAAGGGAGAAAGGAAGGAGGAAGGGAAGGGUUGAGUGGUGGAGGUGAAGAAGGGUGAGGGGAUAGACUGAGAGGUAGACUUAAGAAGUUCAGCUAGGGUGGGCUACACUUUACCAUCGGACUGAUCCGGGAAUACUGCGUUAUCAUCGGCAAAGCAGCGUGUGCCUGAAAUGUUACCGUAGUCAAAUAUGGGCCCUUCCAGCAAAGUCACAAUAUCCAACCGAUUGAUCUUUGUCAGCACCGGAGUUAAAGCAUCCGCUGGAGAGACGAGACAGAGAGAGACAGGGAGAAAAAUGCAUUUACAGGCGGGAAUUAACACCACACAACCUCCAUGUUAAUGAAGUGUUUUCACGAGCUACAAAAAUAAAUAUAGUAUUCUCAUGAGCGACAGCGGCCACAUCCACUGCUCUCCGUCACAGGUUCACGGCGGCCCGCUGCUUACUUGUGGCGUUUUUACCGUCCCUGUGCACCCAUUUCUUUAGGAACAUGAAGCUCUGUGCUGUCAGGGAAUUGGGGUUUUCCACUCUGAUAGAGUUGAUCUCGUCCACAGAGAAAUCCAGCUCCCUGGCCAGCUC
ensembl:lncRNA